ACGUGCCCACAGCCGCGGUAAUACCUAAGUGGGAAGCGUUAUCCGGAUUUAUUGGGCGUAAGCGAGCGCAGGCGGUUUUUUAAGUCUGAUGUGAAAGCCCUCGGCUUAACCGAGGAAGUGCAUCGGAAACUGGGAAACUUGAGUGCAGAAGAGGACAGUGGAACUCCAUGUGUAGCGGUGAAAUGCGUAGAUAUAUGGAAGAACACCAGUGGCGAAGGCGGCUGUCUGGUCUGUAACUGACGCUGAGGCUCGAAAGCAUGGGUAGCGAACAGGAUUAGAUACCCUGGUAGUCCAUGCCGUAAACGAUGAAUGCUAGGUGUUGGAGGGUUUCCGCCCUUCAGUGCCGCAGCUAACGCAUUAAGCAUUCCGCCUGGGGAGUACGACCGCAAGGUUGAAACUCAAAGGAAUUGACGGGGGCCCGCACAAGCGGUGGAGCAUGUGGUUUAAUUCGAAGCAACGCGAAGAACCUUACCAGGUCUUGACAUCUUUUGAUCACCUGAGAGAUCAGGUUUCCCCUUCGGGGGCAAAAUGACAGGUGGUGCAUGGUUGUCGUCAGCUCGUGUCGUGAGAUGUUGGGUUAAGUCCCGCAACGAGCGCAACCCUUAUGACUAGUUGCCAGCAUUUAGUUGGGCACUCUAGUAAGACUGCCGGUGACAAACCGGAGGAAGGUGGGGAUGACGUCAAAUCAUCAUGCCCCUUAUGACCUGGGCUACACACGUGCUACAAUGGAUGGUACAACGAGUUGCGAGACCGCGAGGUCAAGCUAAUCUCUUAAAGCCAUUCUCAGUUCGGACUGUAGGCUGCAACUCGCCUACACGAAGUCGGAAUCGCUAGUAAUCGCGGAUCAGCACGCCGCGGUGAAUACGUUCCCGGGCCUUGUACACACCGCCCGUCACACCAUGAGAGUUUGUAACACCCGAAGCCGGUGGCGUAACCCUUUAGGGAGCGAGCCGUUAAUAGGGACAACGAGGCCCCCCACCGUAAUUACG
rnacentral:rRNA from 2 species